GGGCCCGCACAAGCGGUGGAGCAUGUGGUUUAAUUCGAUGAUACGCGAGGAACCUUACCAGGGCUUAAAUGCAGAACGACAGAGGUGGAAACACCUCCUUCUUCGGACGGUCUGCAAGGUGCUGCAUGGUUGUCGUCAGCUCGUGCUGUGAAGUGUCGGGUUAAGUCCCAUAACGAGCGCAACCCCUAUUUCUAGUUGCCAGCGGUUCGGCCGGGGACUCUAGAGAAACUGCCAGCGUAAGCUGUGAGGAAGGUGGGGAUGACGUCAAAUCAUCACGGCCCUUACGUCCUGGGCCACACACGUGCUACAAUGGUGAGGACAGAGGGUUGCGAAGCCGCGAGGUGGAGCC
rnacentral:rRNA from 1 species